rnacentral:rRNA from 1 species
UGUUGCGGUGAAUACGUUCCCGGGUCUUGUACACACCGCCCGUCAAACCAUGAAAGUGACCAACACCCGAAGUCCGAUUCGUCGGCCUAAGGUGGGGGACAUGAUUGGGGUU